rnacentral:tRNA from 1 species
AGCAUCUUGGCCGAGUGGUCUAAGGCGGCCGACUCAAGAUCGGCUCUCGCAAGGGGCGCGGGUUCGAAUCCCGCAGAUGCUA